rnacentral:rRNA from 1 species
AUUGAACGCUGGCGGCAGGCCUAACACAUGCAAGUCGAGCGAGCGGCGGACGGGUGAGUAAUGUAUGGGGACUGCCCGAUAGAGGGGGAUAACUACUGGAAACGGUGGCUAAUACCGCAUACUAUCGGAUAACCCAUAUGGGAUUAGCUAGUAGGUGGGGUAAAGGCUCACCUGGGCGACGAUCUCUAGCUGGUCUGAGAGGAUGAUCAGCCAAACUGGAACGGAGAAACGGCCCAGACUCCAACGGAGGCAGCAGUGGGAAAUAUUGCAAAAUGGGCGAAAGCCGUAGGAAGCCAUGCCGCGUGUAUGAAGAAGGCCUUAGGGUGGUAAAGUACUUUCAGCGGGGAGGCGUUACCCGAAGAAGAAGCAACGGCUAACUCCGUGCCAGCAGCCGCGGUAAUAC